AGUAGGAGAUCAUGUGUACUAGAGAAAAGAAGUAGGAGAUCAUGUGUGCUAGAGUUAAGAAGUGGGAGAUCAUGUGUGCUAGAGGUAAACAGUAGGAGAUCAUGCGUACUAGAGGUAAGAAGUAGGAGAUCAUGCGUACUAGAGGAAAGAAGUAGGAGAUCAUGUGUGCUAGAGGUAAGAAGUAGGAGAUCAUGUGUGCUAGAGGUAAGAAGUAGGAGAUCAUGCGUACUAGAGGAAAGAAGUAGGAGAUCAUGCGUAUUAGAGGAAAGAAAUAGGAGAUCAUGUGUGCUAGAGGUAAGAAGUAGGAGAUCAUGUGUGCUAGAGGUAAGAAGUAGGAGAUCAUGCGUACUAGAGGUAAGAAGUAGGAGAUCAUGCGUAUUAGAGGAAAGAAAUAGGAGAUCAUGUGUGCUAGAGGUAAGAAGUAGGAGAUCAUGUGUGCUAGAGGUAAGAAGUAGGAGAUCAUGUGUGCUAGAGGUAAGAAGUAGGAGAUCAUGCGUACUAGAGGAAAGAAAUAGGAGAUCAUGUGUGCUACAGGUAAGAAGUAGGAGAUCAUGCGUACUAGAGGAAAGAAGUAGGAGAUCAUGUGUGCUAGAGGUAAGAAGUGGGAGAUCAUGUAGGCUAGAGGAAAGAAGCAAGAGAUCAUGUGUACUAGAGGAAAGAAGUAGGAGAUCAUGUGUACUACAGGUAAGAAGUACGAGAUCAUAUGUACUGGAGGAAAGAAGUAUCAGUUCAUGUGUGCUAGAGGUAAGAAGUAGGAGAUCAUGGGUACUAGAGGUAAGAAGUAGGAGAUCAUGCGUACUAGAGGAAAGAAGUAGGAGAUCAUAUGGGCUAGAGGUAAGAAGUAGGAGAUCUUAAAUAAGAGUAGGUUCACAAAUGGUCAAUAUAUAGUGGUGUUGUAUUUAUAUCAAAAUUUUCAUCAAAAUUUACACCUUAUACAGAAUAACAGCACUUUUUUCCUCCUUUUGGUAAUUUUAUCAUUUUGAUUGACUUUUAUAGGAUAUAGCACUAGCAGUAUAUACCCCUAUUCUACAA